GUUGAUGACAAGGUAUGCAAGGUUCCUCUGUCCUCCGUCAGCGUCACUUUGCACAGGGCAAGCCUUUCUUUCCAGACUCAAUUCCACUAGCCCUGUUUCUGUGACACCCUAGUUACCCCAGGCGGUUACCAACUCUCUCCACUUUUUAAUUUACUUGUAUCCAUUCUGAGUGGUGCUUCGUGAGCUCCUUCAAGGGCAAAGAUCUUACCAUGAGUGAGACCUCCUACGCAACAGUUCUCAGCCAGAUCUUUGCCACUGUUUCGUGAUUCUUCCUGCCCCUUCUAAUAAGACUGUGUGUGUUCAUGACACAUGCAUGUUCACAGGCCACUCUAAGAAAUCCAGAAUGUUCAUCUUCUACCUGAGGAACCAGGAUCUGGACUCCUUGCUCUAAUAGGAGCGAUCAUGAUGCUUUCAGAUAAAUUCACACUGAAUUCUUACAAGGGUGUCCCCUGACCUCCUUCUCAAGCCCACUCAAAUUCUAUGGCUGCAGAGACAGAAGCCCCAAAUGGACCCGCUAUUCAAGUGUCUAGCCCAGGCUGACUUUUGUCUUCUGUCCAGGGGAAAGCUGGCGGUGAGUGCUUGCUCUUUCCUCUUCAAUGAACCUGCUUUUCCAUCUUGGAAGAGGAUGAAAUGCACCUCUCAGAAUGCAAGUUUCCCUGCGGACACUAUCCCCAGUGGUGGAGUGAUGGAGAGAACUGAGAUGAGGUCAGGGAACAACUGA
rnacentral:lncRNA from 1 species